UGUGUUUACUGCAGUACACUUUGCGGAUUGCAUCACUCCAACCUAAUUUUUAAUUUUUUUCGUUCCAGGUGCCUGUGGUGGUGGUGGUUCUACCAGGACUGGAAGUCCGAUGAAAGGGUUUCGAAAAAUGAGCAAUGGUCAGCGGCAGAGCCUGUAGCUGCAGAAGAGGGCUUAGCAGACACAGCAAGCCUGGUGUCCGGCAACAGGAGCAAACCAAGCUCGACAGAGUUAAUUAUGUCCCAGCAACAGCAGGCGUUCUGCUCGCUAGAGGGUGUGGCCUCCACAGCGGAGUACAAGAGGUAGAGCUGUACACCCAGUCGUCGUUGACGGGGUAGUGUCCUGAGCGGCUGACCAGCCGACAGACGUUGGGACUUGUGUCCUCUCGUGUCUGCUGCCUCACCAGCCACUGUUGACACGACACGUAUAAUCCUCUAGUGAGCAUCUUCUGGUAACGCAGCCGCUGCAGUCGUGGCCACCACGUGAUGGCAUCACGGGGUCAGACAGAGCACCACCGGAGGCGCUGUGUACCCACUGCUCCCGCCACUGGAGCUUUAUGUCAUCGUGACACCAACAUGAGGAUUGUCACCAAUGUCUG